AAGGGUUAAAUAGAGGAAGUGAAGCGUAGUUGGAAGUGGAGAGAGACGUGGGAGAAAGUGAGAGGCUUUGGUGGUCAGCCACAACAAAGCUCUGAUCAAUUACUCUAGUUUGGGUGAGGAGGGCGGAGUCGGAGAGCAGACCGAUUGAUACUAAGUUUAACGUUCCUGGAAUCAAUCAAUGGCGCAAGAUUCAGAGAAGAGGUUCGAUUCCAUGGUGGACAAGCUGUUUCAGAAUGCAGAAGGCCCUUCCUAACUCAAAUUCCGCAUCAUCCCCGUCCUCUUCGCCACAUUCACCUAAGAACUCUCCAUCGGGUUCUCUUAUUAAGGUUGAUAACCCCGUUAGAUCGGUUCAAAAUCUAUUCACAUCUUCUGCAAAGAAAUUGAAAAGUAGUCUUUCUAACGAGAACACCAAGCGCUAGGCUCGUUACUUGACAGAGCUUCCGGGAUUAAAUUGCUGCCUCUUCUAAGGUAUGGGAUACAUACACCCUUUGGAGAUGGGUUUUUCAUGUCAUGCCUUCCCCAAUUGAGUUCCUUCUACAAUGAUAUCUCUGCUGUCAUAUCAUUAUCUAUAUAACUAGUUAUGGGAUUUUGUAUUAGUGUAAAGUAAUUUUUUGAGGUUGCUUCUAU